rnacentral:rRNA from 1 species
GUCCUUUAGAUUUAAUAAUUUAAGGUUUAACCUGCCCAUUGAGAUUUUUAAAAGGCCGCAGUAAUUUGACUGUGCAAAGGUAGCAUAAUCAUUAGUUUUUUAAUUAGAAGCUUGAAUGAAUGGUUGGACGAGAUAAAAUCUGUCUUUUAAUUAUAUAUAGAAUUUAAUUUUUAAGUUAAAAAGCUUAAAUAUUGGUAAAAGACGAGAAGACCCUAUAGAUCUUUAUAUAAUUUUUAGUAUUAUUGAUUAGGUUUAUUUUAUUUAGUAUUAAGUAUUAUAUUUUAUUGGGGUAAUAGGGAGAUUAAAUAAAUUCUUUUUUUAAAAAAUAUAAAUAAUUAGUUUUUUGAUCCAUUUAUAGUGAUAGUAAGAUUAAGUUACCUUAGGGAUAACAGCGUAAUUUUUUUGGAGAGUUCAUAUCGAUAAGAAAGAUUGCGACCUCGAUGUUGGAUUAAAAUUAUUUUUAGGUGCAGAAGUUUAAGAAAUUGGUCUGUUCGACCAUUAAAUUUUUACA